rnacentral:sRNA from 1 species
AUCGCGCCCCGGCUUGAGUGGAAAUCCUUUUUGUGUAGCAGAGCGGAACAAAAAGAUUGGGAACGGAAGACGGAAAUUGGC